rnacentral:rRNA from 1 species
UUCGUAGGCGGUGCGGCAAGUCGGGAGUGAAAUCUCUGGGCUUAACUCAGAGGCUGCUUCCGAAACUGCCGUGCUUGAGUGUGGGAGAGGCGCGUGGAAUUGCAGGUGUAGCGGUGAAAUGCGUAGAUAUCUGCAGGAACACCCGUGGCGAAAGCGGCGCGCUGGACCACAACUGACGCUGAGGAACGAAAGCUAGGGGAGCAAACAGGAUUAGAUACCCUGGUAGUCCUAGCCCUAAACGAUCAGGACUUGGGGUGCCGCCCGUUCGGGCGUCGUCCCGGAGCUAACGCGUUAAGUCCUGCACCUGGGGAGUACGGUCGCAAGACUGAA